UACUUGAGUACGCACAAAGUGGGCGGAAUUCGUGGUGUAGCGGUGAAAUGCUUAGAUAUCACGAAGAACUCCGAUUGCGAAGNCAGCUCACUGGAGCGCAACUGACGCUGAAGCUCGAAAGUGCGGGUAUCGAACAGGAUUAGAUACCCUGGUAGUCCGCACGGUAAACGAUGGAUGCCCGCUGUUGGUCUGAAUAGGUCAGCGGCCAAGCGAAAGCAUUAAGCAUCCCACCUGGGGAGU
rnacentral:rRNA from 1 species